GAUGAACGCUGGCGGCGUGCCUAAUACAUGCAAGUCGAGCGAACGGACGAGAAGCUUGCUUCUCUGAUGUUAGCGGCGGACGGGUGAGUAACACGUGGAUAACCUACCUAUAAGACUGGGAUAACUUCGGGAAACCGGAGCUAAUACCGGAUAAUAUUUUGAACCGCAUGGUUCAAAAGUGAAAGACGGUCUUGCUGUCACUUAUAGAUGGAUCCGCGCUGCAUUAGCUAGUUGGUAAGGUAACGGCUUACCAAGGCAACGAUGCAUAGCCGACCUGAGAGGGUGAUCGGCCACACUGGAACUGAGACACGGUCCAGACUCCUACGGGAGGCAGCAGUAGGGAAUCUUCCGCAAUGGGCGAAAGCCUGACGGAGCAACGCCGCGUGAGUGAUGAAGGUCUUCGGAUCGUAAAACUCUGUUAUUAGGGAAGAACAUAUGUGUAAGUAACUGUGCACAUCUUGACGGUACCUAAUCAGAAAGCCACGGCUAACUACGUGCCAGCAGCCGCGGUAAUACGUAGGUGGCAAGCGUUAUCCGGAAUUAUUGGGCGUAAAGCGCGCGUAGGCGGUUUUUUAAGUCUGAUGUGAAAGCCCACGGCUCAACCGUGGAGGGUCAUUGGAAACUGGAAAACUUGAGUGCAGAAGAGGAAAGUGGAAUUCCAUGUGUAGCGGUGAAAUGCGCAGAGAUAUGGAGGAACGCCAGUGGCGAAGGCGACUUUCUGGUCUGUAACUGACGCUGAUGUGCGAA
rnacentral:rRNA from 1 species